GUGUUCAUUUUGUCCACACACAUACUACAAUUGGAAUGAUAUAGAGAAGAUCAGCAUGGCUCCUGUGCAAGAAUGCCAUGUAAAAUUGUGAGGCAUUCCAUAUUUUU
rnacentral:snRNA from 1 species